rnacentral:rRNA from 1 species
AUUAAAUGAGAGUUUGAUCCUGGCUCAGGACGAACGCUGGCGGCGUGCCUAAUACAUGCAAGUAGAACGCUGAAGACUUU